rnacentral:rRNA from 1 species
CCUACGGGUGGCAGCAGUCGAGAAUCAUUCACAAUGGGGGAAACCCUGAUGGUGCGACGCCGCGUGGGGGGAUGAAGGUCUUCGGAUUGUAAACCCCUGUCAUGUGGGAGCAAAUUAAAAAGAUAGUACCACAAGAGGAAGAGACGGCCAACUCUGUGCCAGCAGCCGCGGUAAUACAGAGGUCUCAAGCGUUGUUCGGAAUCACUGGGCGUAAAGCGUGCGUAGGCUGUUUCGUAAGUCGUGUGUGAAAGGGGCGGGCUCAACCCGCGGACGGCAGAUGAUACUGCGAGACUAGAGUAAUGGAGGGGGAACCGGAAUUCUCGGUGUAGCAGUGAAAUGCGUAGAUAUCAAGAGGAACACUCGUGGCGAAGGCGGGUUCCUGGACAUUAACUGACGCUGAGGCACGAAGGCCAGGGGAGCGAAAGGGAUUAGAUACCCUAGUAGUC